UUAGUGGCGGACGGGUGAGUAACGCGUGGGUAACCUGCCUCACACUGGGGGAUAACAGUUAGAAAUAGCUGCUAAUACCGCAUAAGCGCACGGUUCCGCAUGGAACAGUGUGAAAAACUCCGGUGGUGUGAGAUGGACCCGCGUCUGAUUAGGUAGUUGGUGGGGUAACGGCCUACCAAGCCGACGAUCAGUAGCCGACCUGAGAGGGUGACCGGCCACAUUGGGACUGAGACACGGCCCAA
rnacentral:rRNA from 1 species